GACGAACGCUGGCGGCGUGCUUAACACAUGCAAGUCGAACGGAAAGGCCCUGCUUUUGUGGGGUGCUCGAGUGGCGAACGGGUGAGUAACACGUGAGUAACCUGCCCUUGACUUUGGGAUAACUUCAGGAAACUGGGGCUAAUACCGGAUAGGAGCUCCUGCUGCAUGGUGGGGGUUGGAAAGUUUCGGCGGUUGGAGAUGGACUCGCGGCUUAUCAGCUUGUUGGUGGGGUAGUGGCUUACCAAGGCUUUGACGGGUAGCCGGCCUGAGAGGGUGACCGGCCACAUUGGGACUGAGAUACGUCCCAGACUCCUACGGGAGGCAGCAGUGGGGAAUAUUGCACAAUGGGCGGAAGCCUGAUGCAGCAACGCCGCGUGCGGGAUGACGGCCUUCGGGUUGUAAACCGCUUUCGCCUGUGACGAAGCGUGAGUGACGGUAAUGGGUAAAGAAGCACCGGCUAACUACGUG
rnacentral:rRNA from 1 species